rnacentral:rRNA from 1 species
CGGGGAGUUCAUAUACAGGUGCUGCACGGCUGUCGUCAGCUCGUGUCGUGAGAUGUUGGUUAAGUCCCGCAACGAGCGCAACCCUCGUCACUAGUUACUAACGAUUCGGUCGAGGACUCUAGUGAGACUGCCUUCGCAAGAAGGAGGAAGGUGAGGACGACGUCAAGUCAUCAUGGCCCUUACGGCUAGGGCAACACACGUGCUACAAUGGCCAGGACAGUGAGAAGCGAUACCGCGAGGUGGAGCAAAUCUAUAAACCUGGUCUCAGUUCGGAUUGUAGUCUGCAACUCGACUACAUGAAGCUGGAAUCACUAGUAAUCGUAGAUCAGCUAUGCUACGGUGAAUACGUUCCCGGGUCUUGUACUCACCGCCCGUCACACCAUGGGAGUUGAUUUCACCCGAAGCGGGGAAGCUAAACUGGCUACCCUCCACGGUGGAAUUAGCGACUGGGGUGAAGUCGUAACAAGGUA